UGGGGAAUAUUGCACAAUGGGGGAAACCCUGAUGCAGCGACGCCGCGUGAGCGAAGAAGGCUUUCGAGUCGUAAAGCUCUGUCCUAUGAGAAGAUAAUGACGGUAUCAUAGGAGGUUGCCCUGGCUAAAUACGUGUCAGCAGCCGCGGUAAUACGUAUGGGGCGUGCGUUGUCCGGAAUUAUUGGGCGUAACGGGUAUGUAGGCGGGUUUUUAAGUCAGGUGUCAAAGCGUGGAGCUUAACUCCAUUAAGCACUUGAAACUGAAAGACUUGAGUGAAGGAGAGGAAAGUGGAAUUCCUAGUGUAGCGGUGAAAUGCGUAGAUAUUAGGAGGAAUAACGGUGGCGAAGGCGACUUUCUGAACUUUUACAGACGCACAGGUACGAAAGCGUGGGGAGCAAACAGU
rnacentral:rRNA from 1 species